GACCGCCGCGCCGUCCAGCGCCCGCGCCGCUCGGACCGCCGCGCCAUCCACGCCCCGACCGGGUAUGCGUCUGCUGCUAGAUCUUGGCGCCAAUGCUGAGAUCCCUGAUGGAAGAGAUGCCGCUGAAGCUGGGCACCAUCGCGGAAGGGCGCAUCCAUGGUUGACUCCUCGGGGCAGCCGUGCUAACCUGGUUUCGCGCGAUGGGAAGGCGGAACCGCGGAAGGACCGCCGCCUGGUGGCCAGGCAGCCUCGGGCCGUAGGGUCAAGCUCGACUCUUCCUCAAUCCUUCCUCGGGCGAGCUUUCAUUCCUGCUCGGUCUGGUUUUCUUCCAAUUUGUGUGUGCCAUGGUUUUUUUGCGUACUAACUGCUUGACGACAUUUUCAUGUCAGGCAUGAGUGAAAGCAGGAAUGAGGUUCAACACACUUUGCAUUAGCCAUCUGAGGGCGUAUAUAUACAGUUACAGAACGCCUCACGGGCCAGAUCGUGUGCCACUACUUGCACGUACACAAACCCACUCACGCACUACCUAGGCCACGUACAGGCGCGGUGACCAUGCACACGCGCACUCACACUCUGUAUGCUAACAAUGAGUUCAUUGAUGCGACCUAAUGUCAGCCAAGACUGGUUGAUGCAGAUCGUCAGGUGUUUGAGAAAAGAUUUCAGAGUUCUGGGCAUGGCAUCGUUGAGUGAUUGGAAUUUGGAUUGGGAUCUUCUGCAUGGAAGACACCGACUCUUUUUUGGCAUAGUCCCCAUUACUGCUAUUAGCUGGGUUCGGCCAUAUAUUGGGAAUAGAAGAAUUGCAGAACUAUAAUUGGCUGAACUAUGAAGACUAAUGAGAAUAUAAUAGGAGAGAUUCAAAUGCAGAGUCAGUGAUUGGAUAAUUAAGCGCUCGCAUGGCAAUGUUUCUAUACAGAGUAGCUUCUACAAGCAUUAGCUCACUAGAUAGGGUAAGAUUUUUUCAAGUUUUUAUAUUUUUUAUGGUUUUGACCACUCUUACCGUAUAACAAUAUGAAGUAUAGUUUGCCAAAAUCAUAAGCAAUUUGCAGUGGUGAGCUACCAGUGUAGUUUGGUGUCAAAGAAACAACACAGAGCUUGUAGUUGUUUUGUACUGUUUCAGAUGUAAUUAAUUGUUGGGAAAUUUUAUGCAAAUUUAUUCCAGUUAUACAAAUGGUGCACUCCCUGCACAUAGGUGACCAGAAUUGAUCUAUAAUGUGGAGUUUUCUGAAUCCAAACAAAUUAUAUUAUCAUACAUCACCACUGGAUUACAUGAAGGUUGGUUAUGCAUGGAGAAUGAGGUUAGUAAUGUUAGAAAUUAAAACUGUGAGUUGCUACAACAAUGAAAUUCAGUAGGAAUUUAAUUACUGAAGGUAAGCAUGUACUUUAAUUUCUUUACACGAAAUUUAUCAAAUUGAUGUUUUUUAUUCCUAACGCAUUUAUUUAUAUAGAAUUAGACCACAAUUACCUAGAAACUACAAAUGGUUGGAACAUGUGAGGACUAAGUUUGGACCUGAACAAUUUGUGUUGGCAACCCAAAUACAGUGUUUCUAAGACUAUUCCUGGAGAAACAAUUUGAGUUUAUCUAGAGAAGAACGAGCUAAAUAUUGUUACAAUAUGUCCUUGUUUGGGUCCACAAUUGCAACAUGUUCAAUCCAGCAGCAAACUACUCAUAUGUUUUAAUUAUUGAUUGACUAUGGAAUGCUGAAAUUUAAAUAUAGGAGGCCCUAAUGCUUUGAACGACAUUCUGUGGCACAUUCACUGUCCCCGCUACUGUGCAUGUGGUGGUGUACGAGAGACCAGCAUCAUCCGGGACAUAUAUCUGGGUGCCAAAUUACGUUGGCACAAAGUUAAGAUGUACCCCUCACUGCACUUUAUUUGAACUGGCACGUCUCUUUUCUUAUCAUGCGUUCUGUUGAAAUUUAGUCUAUUUUGGGCAGCCCAAUAACUAUUUCAGAAAUUUCUAAUAAAUCCUAGAGGCCCAUUUAGCCCAUUUAUGCAAGGCAAAGGAUACUACUAAAGUUUA